CCAUACAGGAAGUGCCCUGUCUGACAAUUUGUUCUCCUUCUAGGGCAUCUCUAUCAAAAAUACAGCAUCUCUGCUGUAACGUGACAUUUUCUAAGGCUUCCAUUGGCUCUCAGAAGGCGCCAGAAUGUGGAAUGAGAGCUCUCCAGUCUCUGGGCGAAAAACAGCAGGAGUUUUUGUGAGUGGUCAGGCUGAGAACAAUGACACUGGAGUGCACGUGCACGAGACGACUCCAUGUUUUUCUUUCAGUCUAUGAAUGAAUAUAAUGUCGCCCGGUUGGAAUAUUAACGCUAUUUUACGAGAAAAAUUGCAUAAAAAUUGAUUUUAAACAGCGUUUGACAUACUUCGAAGUACGGUAAUGGAAUAUUUAGAAUUUUUUUGUCACGAAAUGCGCCCGCGCAUCACCCUUCGGAUAGUGACCUCAACACACGAACAAAACGGAGCUAUUUCAAUAUAACUAUGGAUUAUUUUGAACCAAAACAACAUUUGUUAUUGAAGUAGAAGUCCUGGGAGUGCAUUCUGACGAAGAACAGGAAAGGUAAAGUGGAGCUGAGAACCAGUACUGAGGUAAAGGCUCAGUGUGAUCAGAAUGUGUCCCUGCAGUGUGACAUCAUGUCACCGAGCCCACUCAAGAUCAUUCUCUUUUCCUGGGUAAGGAAAGGGAAACAGCUGUGUGUGGUCAAUGCCACUGGUGUAUUCUCCUUUCCUGGCGUCCGGUGUGACAACACAAACAACACCCUCACACUCAAUCUGACUCGGGUGAUGCCGUCCAGUCAGGGUAACUACACCUGCAAACUGCGCUCCAACCUAACGAUCACAGCUGCCAACACCACUGUGACAAUGCAAGAGUGCCUAAGGACAUCUGAGCACAAAGUGUUCCAGAAUGAGUCUCAGGUUGAGUGCCAGUUAUUUGGAGUUUACCCAGAAGGCACAGUACACUGGUUCCUGGGCUCUGAGAAUAUAACAGAGUCCGCCAGCACAAAGAGCCAGCUGGAUGAAGAGGGGCUGUUUGAUAUAAGGAGUACCCUGCCUACCCAGGCUGGGACUGAGCCUUACAACUGCUCCUUGUGGAUACCUAGUAGUGGAACCUACAGCUCUCACAAACAGCUGCACUACUCCAGGGGGCUCUCUUCAGGGACAAAGACUAGGAGCAGACUGCUGUUGUUCUUCAUCCUGGUUGGACUCAUAAUCAUAAUUUAGGACUACUCAUGGGAAGGUCAGGAGUUUUUUUACUGAAUAUGGGACUUCGAACUACAGUAGGGCAAAGGGCUUUUCUGGUCAGGGCACAUCUACACAGGAUGGAUCAGGGCCUUUCUCUUACUGAGUGAAGAGAAAGCAAACCUGGACUGCCAUGGCCAAAGUAGAUAUAUGUUUUCACUUAUUAUACUGGGAAGCAAAAUAUCAAAGAAAUUGCAAUAAAUACAAUUGAAUUUUAAAGCUGAAAAUCAUUGUACAUUGGGAUUUGAGAAUACUGUAAGAAGUAUUCAUCCGUUCAUCGUUUGUCUUCAACGUUAUACACUUGCUUAAAUUGCAUUGCUUAUUACAGUAGUAGAGUACUGCUUCCUGGUGGUGAAAGUGUUUACUGAUGGAAAUAGUAUUGAUGUUAGAUGAGUAAUAAAGCUGUUCUAAAUUGUAUUGUUGAAUUGACUGAUCUUGCUUAUUAAGUCUGUCAUAUCUUGUUGCUGUGUUUUCCAGUCAGCACUGAUUAGACUGAUUAUAUAAUCAAUCAAUGCAAUGUCAAAACAUGGCUAGAAGGACAUGUUACUGUGUGUUCUGGAUUCUAAAAUACAACUUGAAUUGUACCAUAGCAAAUAUAGUCACCCGUGUUGUUUUCUGUACUAGUUCUCAAUUUAAAAAUGAACCAGACCACCCUGGGUACUCAUGACAUUGACAGUAAAAGAAUGAGGACUCAUGGUCAUUCAAAUUGCAUUUCUAGUUCCUUCUCAGUGUACCACAAGGGGGCAGAGUCAUCCCACCAGAGAGGACUGUCAAACCAAUCAUACACAACUCUUCUCCCUCUGCAUACAAACACACACUCAUGCUGUGUGAAUUCCAAUCCAACUGUUCUGUAUAAAUCAACACUUUGAUGUGACACAUUUCCUAUCAAUUUCCUCUACGCCAAUGUGGGUCUCCUGCAAAGUGAAGGAGUGAAGGGUAAAAUGUCUGUCAUUAUAAAACACUCAAAUAAAUCCACAUGACUUCUGUGGUGUCAAACUCACAUCUCUAAUGCAUUAUCCAGGUGCGAGGAUAUGUAAUGUGUUUUAGAUGGACUGACCUUGUUGCACAUGUUGUGUGGGCUGCUGUGAGAGAUGUUAAAAGUACCUGUUGAGUACACAGUAUAACAACACAUGCAUUUUUCUGAUAAAUAGGUACAUUUCCCCAACAAUUGUGAGGAUUCCUGCAAAGUGGGAUGUCAUUAUCAAACACUAUGAGUCCUGUUGUCAUUAUCAAACACUCAUCAAUAUGAUGAGUACUGUUGUCAUUAUCAAACACUCAUCAAUAUGAUGAGUCCUGUUGUCAUUAUCAAACACUCAUCAAUAUGAUGAGUCCUGUUGUCCCAAGCAGGGCAUGAUCAGAAAUAUAGUGUUUUAAAUCGACUGACAGUUUGUUUCAGUAAAAUCAAACAUUAUCUAGAAUGGAGAUGAUGGUGUUGUGUCUUUGCAUCAUUAAAACGGAAGACAUGUUUAUCAAAUAACUUUCUGUAAUUAUUAUUACGCGAUUAAACUGAUUAAUCGUGUAACUGUAAUUAACUAGGAGGUCGGGGCACCAAGGAAAAUAUUUAGAUUACAAAGUUAUAAUUUUCCUAAUAUAACUUUCAGAUAUCAUACUAUCUGAUCUGAGUCUUCUGAUUAAUGAUGUGUUAUUUACCUCGCCA
rnacentral:lncRNA from 1 species